UGUUUAGAAGCUGGCUUACACUUUUAGAGGGCUAUGGAUGCAGUAUAAUUUACUGCUUAGGAAGUUACUAAAGGAACAGGGAGCAGUUAAGUGAAUGUAUUCACGGUCAUCUUGUGUGGGAAACAGAACUUCUGAAAUCAGAGAAGAGGAAUUUGGCUGCCUAGUGGGGCACGGCACCACGGUUGGACUGUAUCUUCAGUAAUGUAUGGAAUGGCUGAAUGUGCACUUGCUGUUGCCAUGAUGUGAGAAGCAGAUGUUUUCCCCUAUGACUGUCAGAGCUGCAGCCAGGCAGCAGGUGGAUCUCUUGAUCACAGAAGGAGAUCAGGUUCAUCAAGCAGGACCUGCCUUCCAUGAGCCCAUGGAAGGGCUCCAUGGCUGGGCCUGAUCCCCCAGUUUCCCGCACAUGCUAUGUGAUUUUACUCAAGAGGAUCUGUUCCAUAACUUUUCUGUCACUGACAUCAGGCUGACAGGUUGAUCCCCAAAUCCUCCUUAUGACUCUUCUUGUAGAUAGGAGUCACAAUGGCAAGCCUCCAUUCUCUGGGACCUCUCCAGUUGACCAGGAAAGCUGAUAGUCGAUGGAAAGUGGCCUGGCAAUCACCUCACCCUGACAGACUUUGUGCUGUUCUAGGUGAGACUGAUAAGAAGCAAAGAAUGUUUUUUACUUCACCUCAUCACCAAGGCAAUAUUCCAAAGAGUUACAAUAAAUGUGUUGCCUCUGCUGCUUAUCAUUCCUCCACAAUGUGAGGUGGCUCUUGGUCUACAGGGUUGUAAACUGUUGUCUGUGUAAAGACUGAGCUGUCCUGACAGGUUAAUAUAUUUCUUCUUUGUGGAUUGAAUGGAUUAUUGUGUAUUAUUUUGUGAAUAUCAUGUAUUUGGGAAUCAAAAUACUUAAUUCACAGAUACACACAUUUUUAGGGAUCACAGGACCUUUCAUUCCUGUGGGGAAGAUGGUGCAGUGAGGGAGAGAUAUUGGGCAAUUUACGUUGGAAGAAACUCAUAAUCUCUUGUUGUGCAUAUUAGGUGGUACAAUACUGCAGGGAGAUUGGACAGGUUAACGUGGUGUCCCCUGCUUUUCUGUACAUGGUCCUGGUGCAGGAAUCCACAGUUUUCUACGUUCUUUCUCUCCUCCCUGGGCUGCCCAAAGGUUUGAUAGGUGGUCUUGGAUGUGGGUGCAGAGCUGUUGGAUCCACCAUUAAAGUAAUAGGGAUUCCUGGGAAGACACACUAUUCAUUCUUAGGUGUCCUUAAUUUUAGGAUGGGAUAGAAAAACUCCUUGUUGUUGAUUUGUCUGAUUGUUUUCUAAUUUUCUGUCACUGUUGCUGACAUCCACAAUCAAAUUGUUCAAGACAUGUCCUGGGCACUUCUGUACUCCUUGAAGUCAGUGGGUUUUUUGCAUACUUUUGCUAUCUGUUUCUCUGUGGAAGCUAAACAAACCUGUUUUGUUAUUUUUGUCAGCUAGUCUAUCGUAUUUCAUCCACUAUAGCAGAAAUUUGGUUAAAGAUCAUGGGUUUAGGCAAAGGGGUAUGUUGAUUAGAUUUAGCUCAUGCAAGCUGCUAGAUGGUUGUAUCAGUCACAAGGUUUCGUGUAUAUUUAAUAUUAUGAAGCAUUUCUACUCUGGUUGGUAUGCUUUGCAGAAUUUGUUGAGGCAUGUUUAAAAAAAAAAGGUAAAAGCUUUCAGGGCUAAUCAAAAUACUUUCACUGGAUCAUUCUCAUUUGUAUUUCAUUUGAUGAUAACUGUUUGAAGAGCCAUCACUGUAGGUUAAAUGGGUCAGCAUAUGUGAGGCCUUCAGUAAAAGGUUGAGAUGUUUUUUUUUCUGUGAUUAUCUGGUUUAAAAGACUUUAAAGAUCACAUGUUUUCUAGCUUCAGGACUAAGUUUCUUAUCAAAUUAUACAAAUACAUAAAAUUAAAUAUUGCUUUUUGAAGAUUCUGGGGGAAGGAGGGAAGAAGUCUUACCUCUCUUACAGCACUAAAAUAUCAGAGACCAUAUUCUUAACAGAAGUAGAGGUGAAAGGAGUCAUUCUUCAUCUGAAAACUGUAUAUUUUUUACUGCUACAAAAUCUGUAUUUUCAGUGUUAAGCACUUUCAAGACUGAAACUUCACCAACGUGACUCUUUCGACUGCUGGCAGAUGACUGCUUAGCACUUUCCACAAACAAGGAAUUAAAGCAGCAACUGCAUAGAGGCCAUUCUCCUGAUGUCAGUGUGUGGAAACGCAUUGUCUCUCAGCCUACCUAGAAGUGCAACAGAAAUUGAGAGAAAUUUACAAUUAUCACCUGUGUAUCCACAGAGAGGAUAUCUGUAGCCCUUUCAAUGCCUUUUCCUCUUCCUGCAGACAUCCUGGUCUCUGUAAGAAUGAGUUUCUGACUCCUCUUUAGAAGGAAGUUCUCCAGCAAAUACAAUUCCAUCUGUAUUACUCACAUGGGUACUUCCCCUCUAUUUGCAAACUCAAAUGACAUGAAGUAAGAGGUUUGUGUUUUCAGUCUUUCCUGAAACUGUAAGGAAAAACCAUGAGAAACCAAAACUGCAGGAUAAACAAGCCUAACAUUCCAUCCAGCAGCAGCAGCAGCAGUUCACAUUCACCCGGACCAGCAGACAGGACUAAAAUUAACUCAGAGGAGAUUUCAGGAUGUCAAUAAUCGAAUUUUGCAAAUUAUGAAGUAUUCUUUGUGUUAUUGGAACGUUCUAGUAACCUAGAGAGAAAAAUAGUAUUUAUACUGCCAGUAGCUGAGAAUGGCUGGACUACUGUGGUGAUUUUUGUGGGCUAUUAUUUAAUUUUGUGGAUUUUCUUUCAAUCGAUCCAGUUGCUGUAAAGUAAGUUAAAAUUAAAAAGAUAAAUGAAAUCUGGAAUGGCCCACACCACCCAAUGCCUUCCAAUAAUUGUGUCUGGUAAGAGCAAGUAAAAUGGAAAACAAGACUUCACAGAAUAUGUUGUCAUUUCGUAGAAAAUAUCUAAAGACUUCUUUUGACGGUUAGUACUUGCUCAGUAUCUUACUCAUAUGAAGUGCAAAGUUAAUGUUGCAUAAUAAAUGUAGCUGUUAUCCACCGACUCUCAUUACAAGUCCAGAAUUUCUUAAGAACUACUGUACUAUGCAAUUUUGGGGGUGUGUGAGGGGGGCUAGGGUCAGACGGAAGAACAGGAGUAUUGUGCUAAAAUCACUUUGUAUUUAGAUCAGAUUAUGAAAUUCAGAUCUGCUCCAGUGAUGUAUUAUGGCUAAGUACAGAACUUAGAGAUGAAAGUGAUAAAACAAAUGAAAUAGUUUCAUUGACUCAACUACACUGCUGUUUGUUACUUAAACAUUUGCAUUCCAAACUCUGGUUCCCAUCUCUGAUAUUGCUAAUACCUCUGAUAAUAAGUGAUUUCCCACCUUUUUACAGCAUCAUGAAGCUUUUAUAUACACAGUAAUUUACUUAUUCUCCCGGUCCACAGUCAACAAUAACAGAGUACAUCAAUCCAUUGUACAUAGAGCUGGAAUUGUUUGAUCUAUUGUUAAUUAAAAUUUGAGAACAACCUUUGCAUACGUCACUUGUGGAAAGCAUGAUGCAUUUUGUUUAAUUAAAAACCUAUGAAAGUAAAAUCUGUUGUGCAUAAACUAAGAUACAGAAGUUUGUCAUAAAGAGAGAAUUGACAGAUCAAAUUGUAUUCAAGUAUUCCUCAGGCUUGGCCUUGUUUAAUGAAUUUUUACAAUCAGUCUUUUUCCCUGUAGGAGAGCAUUGUUGCUAACAGAGCUCACAUAUGAGGAAUAAACAAUACUUUGAUGUCUGAGGGGCCACAAAACCUCUCAUUGUCUGUGCAUGUAGAGGUCUAGCAGGUCCAUCUCUUUCAAGGAUUUAGUGUGACUUAAUAUUCAUGGUCCAGCACAACAAAUUCUGUGAGACAACUCUGUAUUCUG